CAAUAGCGUAUAUUAAAGUUGUUGCAGUUAAAAAGCUCGUAGUCGGAUUUUGGUACCAAGCCGAACGGUCUGCCGAACGGUAUGCACUGUUUAGCGGGUACUUCCUUCCGGAAGCCCGUGCUCUCCUUAAUUGGAUGGCACGGUGAGUCCGGAUCAUUUACUUUGAAAAAAUUAGAGUGUUCAAAGCAGGCAAUCGCUUGAAUACAUUAGCAUGGAAUAAUAGAAUAGGACUUUGGUUCUAUUUUGUUGGUUUCUAGGACCGAAGUAAUGAUUAAUAGGGACAGUUGGGGGCAUUAGUAUUUAAUUGUCAGAGGUGAAAUUCUUGGAUUUAUGAAAGACUAACUACUGCGAAAGCAUUUGCCAAGGAUGUUUUCAUUAAUCAAGAACGAAAGUUAGGGGAUCGAAGAUGAUUAGAUACCAU
rnacentral:rRNA from 1 species